rnacentral:rRNA from 1 species
GACGAACGCUGGCGGCGUGCUUAACACAUGCAAGUCGAACGGAAAGGCCCUGCUUUUGUGGGGUGCUCGAGUGGCGAACGGGUGAGUAACACGUGAGUAACCUGCCCUUGACUUUGGGAUAACUUCAGGAAACUGGGGCUAAUACCGGAUAGGAGCUCCUGCUGCAUGGUGGGGGUUGGAAAGUUUCGGCGGGUGGGGAUGGACUCGCGGCUUAUCAGCUUGUUGGUGGGGUAGUGGCUUACCAAGGCUUUGACGGGUAGCCGGCCUGAGAGGGUGACCGGGCACAUGGGGACUGAGAUACGGCGCAGACGCCUACGGGAGGCAGCAGUGGGGAAUAUGGCACAAUGGGCGGAAGCCUGAGGCAGCAACGCCGCGGGCGUGAUGACGGCCUUCGGGGUGUAAACCGCUGUCGCCUGUGACGAAGCGUUUGUGACGGUAAUGGGUAAAGAAGCACCGGCUAACUACGUG